GCUAUCCACAAGCGGAAACACCAAGCAAAACAGCCUAGGACUCCCCUCAGAAGGGUCUCAGCAAAAGUCCAGCUCAGCUCCUGACAUUGUGCAGCAUGAAGUCCGGAGGAACUGAACAGUCGGAGAGUUGGCUGCAAUGAACUUGACGAUGGCUUGCACUACAUCAGGAUGCAGAAGAAGAUGUAGAAGAGCCUACCUAGACUUCUCAAGAAAGUUUCCUGAAAGCAAUAUUUUCCUUUGUCGUACUAGUCUCAAGGAUGCUGGUCUCAUCUUCCUACUGUGUGGCCUGUAAUCACCUCUGUCUACAGCACCACUCUCUAUGAGUCCCUUCUGUGUGCUGGACUUUGUCACAGUCUGGGUCACAGUGGUGAUUCCCAGCAGUGAAGGGGUGGGGUGUCUGGAGCCUUUGUAUAAACACAGUAUAGUCUGCUGGGAGCAUUGAUGAUUAUUGUUGAUGACGAGGAGAAAAAAAAUGAAGUUAACCAUUUGUUUAA
rnacentral:lncRNA from 1 species